CAAAAUAUAGCUUAACUAAAGCAUCUCGCUUACACCGGGAAAAUAUCUGUUAAAUCCGGAUUAUUUUGAGC
rnacentral:tRNA from 1 species